AGUGAACGCUGGCGGUAUGCCUAACACAUGCAAGUCGAACGGCAGCACAGUAAGAGCUUGCUCUUACGGGUGGCGCGUGGCGGACGGGUGAGGAAUACAUCGGAAUCUACUUUUUCGUGGGGGAUAACGUAGGGAAACUUACGCUAAUACCGCAUACGACAUACGGGUGAAAGCAGGGGAUCUUCUGACCUUGCGCGAUUGUAUGAGCCGAUGUCGGAUUAGCUAGUUGGCGGGGUAAAGGCCCACCAAGGCGACGAUCCGUAGCUGGUCUGAGAUGAUGAUCAGCCACACUGGCACUGAGACUCGGUCCAGACUCCUACGGGAGGAAACAGCGCGGAAUAUUAGACAAUGGGCGAAAGCCUAAUCCCGCCAUAGCGCGUGGGUCCAGCAGCAGUUCGGGUUCUAAAGCCCUUCUGUUGGGAAAGAAAAGCAGCAGGUUUACACCACGCUAUACUGACGGUACCCAAAGAAUAAGCACCGGCUAACUUCGUG
rnacentral:rRNA from 1 species